rnacentral:rRNA from 1 species
GACGAACGCUGGCGGCGUGCCUAAUACAUGCAAGUAGAACGCACAGUUUAUACCGUAGCUUGCUACACCAUAGACUGUGAGUUGCGAACGGGUGAGUAACGCGUAGGUAACCUGCCUGGUAGCGGGGGAUAACUAUUGGAAACGAUAGCUAAUACCGCAUAAUAUUAAUUAUUGCAUGAUAAUUAAUUGAAAGGUGCAAUUGCACCACUACUAGAUGGACCUCCGUUGUAUUAGCUAGUAGGUGAGGUAACGGCUCACCUAGGCGACGAUACAUAGCCGACCUGAGGGGGUGAACGGCCCACAUGGGAAUGGGACACGGCCCAGACUCCUACGGGGGGCAGCAGUAGGGAAUCAUCGGAAAUGGACGAAAGUCUGGCCGAGCCACGACGCGUGAGUGAAGGAGGUUUUCGGAUCGUAAAGCUCUGUUGUAAGAGAAGAACGGGUGUGAGAGUGGAAAGUUCACACUGUGACGGUAUCUUACCAGAAAGGGACGGCUAACUACGUG